rnacentral:rRNA from 1 species
UACGGGGGGAGCAAGCGUUGUUCGGAUUUACUGGGCGUAAAGGGCGCGUAGGCGGCCACCGCAAGUCGACUGUGAAAUCUCCGGGCUUAACCCGGAAAGGUCAGCCGAUACUGCGGGGCUAGAGUGCAGAAGGGGCAACUGGAAUUCUCGGUGUAGCGGUGAAAUGCGUAGAUAUCGUUUGGAACGCCAAAGGUGAAAACAGGUCGCUGGGAGUGUGCUGACGCUGAGACACGAAAGCCAGGGGAGCAAACGGG